UACGUAGGCAGCGAGCGUUGUUCGGAGUUACUGGGCGUAAAGGGUGCGCAGGUGGGUUGGCAAGUUUGAUGUGAAAGCCCCGGGCUUAACCCGGGAAUGGCAUUGAAUACUGCUGAUCUGGAGGAUCGGAGGGGGGACUGGAAUUCUUGGUGUAGCAGUGAAAUGCGUAGAUAUCAAGAGGAACACCAGUGGCGAAGGCGAGUCCCUGGACGAUACCUGACACUGAGGCACGAAAGCCAAGGGAGCAAACAGG
rnacentral:rRNA from 1 species